AUAAUACUCUCUCCGUCCGGAAUUACUUAUCAUCAAAAUGGAUGUGUCUAGAACUAAAAUACAUCUAGAUACAUCCAUUUCAAUGACAAGUAUUUUCGGACGGAGGGAGUAGUAG
rnacentral:pre_miRNA from 1 species